UACGUAGGGGGCAAGCGUUGUCCGGAUUUAUUGGGCGUAAAGAGCUCGUAGGUGGUUCGGUAAGUCGGAUGUGAAAUCUCCAGGCUCAACCUGGAGGGGUCAUUCGAUACUGCCGUGACUAGAGGUCGGUAGGGGAGUGUGGAAUUCCCGGUGUAGCGGUGAAAUGCGCAGAUAUCAGGAGGAACACCAAUGGCGAAGGCAGCACUCUGGGCCGGUACUGACGCUGAGGAGCGAAAGCGUGGGGAGCGAACAGG
rnacentral:rRNA from 1 species